rnacentral:antisense_RNA from 1 species
CUUGAUCGAGCCGAGCCACACCGGCUGGUCGGCCGGACGGUCCUGACCGUACGUGGCCAGCAGCGCCUGCGCCUC